AUUGAACGCUGGCGGCAUGCCUUACACAUGCAAGUCGAACGGCAGCACGGGAGCAAUCCUGGUGGCGAGUGGCGAACGGGUGAGUAAUAUAUCGGAACGUGCCCAGUCGUGGGGAUAACGUAGCGAAAGCUACGCUAAUACCGCAUACGAUCUAUGGAUGAAAGCGGGGGAUCGCAAGACCUCGCGCGAUUGGAGCGGCCGACAUCAGAUUAGGUAGUUGGUGAGGUAAAGGCUCACCAAGCCGACGAUCUGUAGCUGGUCUGAGAGGACGACCAGCCACACUGGGACUGAGACACGGCCCAGACUCCUACGGGAGGCAGCAGUGGGGAAUAUUGGACAAUGGCGCAAGCCUGAUCCAGCCAUGCCGCGUGUGUG
rnacentral:rRNA from 1 species